rnacentral:rRNA from 1 species
UACGUAGGGUGCAGGCGUUAAUCGGAAUUACUGGGCGUAAAGCGUGCGCAGGCGGUUAUGUAAGACAGAUGUGAAAUGCCCGGGCUUAACCUGGGAACUGCGUCUGAUACUGGAAGGCUUGAGUAUGGGAGAGGGAUGUAGAAUUCCAGGUGUAGCGGUGAAAUGCGUAGAUAUCUGGAGGAAUACCGGUGGCGAAGGCGGCAUCCUGGACCAUUACUGACGCUGAGGCGCGAAAGCUAGGGGAGCAAACGGG